GUAGGUGGCAAGCGUUGUCCGGAAUUAUUGGGCGUAAAGUGCGCGCAGGUGGUUCGUUUAAGUCUGAUGUGAAAGCCCCCGGGCUCAACCGGGGAGGGUCAUUGGAAACUGGGGAACUUGAGUGCAGGAGAGGAAAGUGGAAUUCCACGUGUAGCGGUGAAAUGCGUAGAUAUGUGGAGGAACACCAGUGGCGAAGGCGACUUUCUGGCCUGUAACUGACACUGAGGCGCGAAAGCGUGGGGAGCAAACAGGAUUAGAUACCCUGGUAGUCCACGCCGUAAACGAUGAGUGCUAAGUGUUGGGGGGUUUCCGCCCCUCAGUGCUGCAGCUAACGCAUUAAGCACUCCGCCUGGGGAGUACGGUCGCAAAGACUG
rnacentral:rRNA from 1 species